GGAGAACAAGCGAAACUGUCCUGUAAGUCGAGGUAUCCAUACAUUUCCGCCUUGUCUUCGCAGGUCGUUAAGACAAAGAAAAUGACUGACGCUGGUCGUUGGGAGCCGGAUCGCAUCCAGCCAGGUUUAUUAAUGCCUACAGACAAGACCUCUGGAAGAGGAGAUUCCUCCAACACCUUCUUCAUCGAGACCGUUUUCGGAAAGCACGUCCCUUGGUCUGUCUGUGUGAACCCUGAGCCCACCGCCAUUGUGAUUCCUGCAGAUGUUAAACAGAUGCUGAUGGUUAAAGAAGAAACCACAGAAGACCAAAAACCUAAUGUGGACCUGCACGACCCACAGCCCCACCACAUAAAGGAGGAAGAGGAGAGAGUCUACAUCAGUCAGGGGGAAGAGCUGCAAAAUUUGAAGGAGGAGAUAGAAAGUGCCAUAAAGAGUGAGGAUGAUGAACAGUCCUAUCUGCUCUCACAACUUUGUCAAAACCAAAUUAAAGACAGAGAACUUCCAGGAGAAAACAAUGAAGGGCAGUCAGUCAAGAUGGAAUAUCAUCAAAAUGGUUCCAGGUCCUUAGAGUGUGAAGACAUCAAGAAGAAUGAAGAGGAUGAUGAUGUAGAGCUGAAACACUUGUCAGACUCUGGACUGAAGACUGAAGGCAUGAACAGAGAUACUGAGUCAGAUGGAGACCUUGUUAACAACCCAAAUUCAGAAAUAGGGUCUCAAGGAUUGCUGGAUAUGAAGAAAUGUUUUACAGCGAACAAAAAUGGUAUCUCACGAAGGAAGGUCAAAACAGGAGAGAAGUUUAGUUGUAAAGACUGUGGCAAAAUAUUUAUUAAAAAGCAGAAUUUAAAUAUACACAUGAAAAUCCACACAGGAGAGAAAUCUUUUUGCUGUCAUCUCUGUGGACGUAGAUUUAAUGAUGAAUCAAGAUUAAACAAACACACAAGAAUCCACACAGGAGAGAAGCCUUUCUGUUGUGACGUAUGUGGACAUACAUUUACUGAAAAAUCAAAUUUAAAUAGACACAAGAGAAUCCAUGCAAGACCGAAAACUUUCUGUUGUGAUCUUUGUGGACAUAGAUUUAACCAAAAACAACAUUUAAACACACACAUGUUAAUCCACACAGGAGAGAAGCCUUUCUGUUGUGAAAUCUGUGGACAAUGCUUUAACCAGAAAUCUAGUUUAAACACACACAUGAGAAGUCACACAGGUCAGAAGCCAUUCUGUUGUGAUGUCUGUGGACAUAAAUUUAGCCGAAAAGCCCAUUUAAACUCACACAUGAAAAUCCACACAGGACAGAAGCCUUUCUGUUGUGAAGUUUGUAGACGUCAAUUUACCGAAAAAUCUAAUUUAAAUAGACACAUGAAAAUCCAUGCAAGACAGAAAACUUUCUGUUGUGAUCUUUGUGGACAUAGAUUUAAACAAAAACACAAUUUAGACGCACACAUGAGAAUUCACGCAGGACAGAAGCCUUUCUGUUGUGAAAUCUGUGGACAUGGCUUUAACCAGAAAUCUAGUUUAAACACACACAUGAGAAGUCACACAAGUCAGAAGCCUUUCUCAUGUGAUGUCUGUGGACAUAAAUUUAGCCGAAAAGCAUAUUUAAACAUACACAUGAGAAUCCACACAGGACAGAAGCCCUUCUGUUGUGACGUGUGUGGACAUAGAUUUACUGAUCAAUCAAAUCUAAAUAAACACAGGAGAAUCCACACAAGACAGAAAAUCUUAUUUUGUGAUCUUGAACAGGACAGAAGCCUUUCUAUUGUGAACUCUGAUGACACAAAUGUACUGGAGAUAGAAAGUGCCAUAAAGAGUGAAGAUGAUAAACAGUCCCCUGUGCUCUCACAGUUUUAUCAAGACCAAAUUAAAGACAGAGAAAUUCCAGAAGAAAACAAUGGAGGACAAUCCAUCAAGAAGGAAGAUUAUUUAAAUGAUUCCAGGUCCUUAGAGUGUGAAGAGAUCAAGAAGGAUGAAGAGGUUGAUGAUGUAGAGCUGAAACACUUGUCAGACUAUGGACUGAAGACUGAAGGCAUGAACAGAGAUACUGAGUCAGACCUUGUUAAUAACCCAAAUUCAGAAAUAGGAUCUUCAGGGUUGAUGGAUAUGAGGAAAUGCUUUACAGUGAACAAAAAUGGUAGUUCACAAAGGAAGAUCAAAACAGGAGAGAAGUUCAGCUGUGAAGACUGUGACAAAACAUUUAUUAAAAAACACAAUUUAGACACACAUAUGAGAAUCCACACAGGAGAGAAAUUCUUUUGCUGUCAUCUCUGUGGAUGUAGAUUUACUGAUGAAUCAAGAUUAAACAAACAUUCAAGAAUCCACACAGGAGAGAAACCUUUCUGUUGUGACGUAUGUGGAAACAAAUUUAGCCGGAAAGCACAUUUAAACACACACAUGAGGAUCCACACAGGACUGAAGCCCUUCUGUUGUGAUGUUUGUGGGCUUAGAUUUACUGAUCAAUCCAAUCGAAAUAAACACAUGAAAAUCCACAUAAAACCGAAAAUUGUAUUUUGUGAUCUUAAACAGGAUGGAAGCCUUUCUGUUGUGAACUCUGAGGACACAAAUGUACUGGAGAUAGAAAGUGCCAUAAAGAGAGAGGAUGAUAAAUUGUCCUCUCUGCUCUCGCAACUUUGUCCAGACCAAAAUAAAGACCGAGAACUUCUAGAAGAAAAUAAUGGAGGACAAUCCAUCAAGGUAGAAGAUUCCCAAAAUGCUUCCAGGUCUUUAGAGUGUGAAGACACCAAGAAACAUGAAGAGGACAAUGAUGUAGAGCUGAAACACUUGUCAGACUCGGGACUGAAGACUAAAGGCAUGGACAGAGAUACUGAGUCAAAUGGAGAACUUGUUAACCCAAAUUCAGAAAAGGGAUCUUCAGGGUUGAUGGAUAUGGAGGAAUGUUUAACAGAGAACAAAAAUUUUGACUCACAAAGGAAGGUCAAAACAGGAAACAAGUUUAGCUGUGAAGACUGUGGCAAAUCCUUUAUUAAAAAACACAAUUUAAACAUACACUUGAGAAUCCACACAGGACAGAAACCUUUCUGUUGUGAUAUUUGUGGACAUACAUUUAAACAAAAAUCAAAUUUAAGCACACACAUGAGAAUCCACACAGGAGAGAAAUCUUUUUGUUGUCAUCUCUGUGGACGUCGAUUUGCAGAUGAAUCAAGAUUAAGCAAACACACAAGAAUCCACAAAGGACAGAAACCUUUCUGUUGUGAUGUCUGUGGACAUAAAUUUAGCCGAAGAGCACAUUUAAACUCACACAUGAAAAUCCACACAGGACAGAAGCCUUUCUGUUGUGACGUUUGUGGACGUAAAUUUACUGAAAAAUCAAAUUUAAAUAGACACAUGAAAAUCCAUGCAAGACAGAAAACUUUCUGUUGUGAUCUUUGUGGACAUAGAUUUAACCAAAAACACAAUUUAGACGCACACAUGAGAAUCCAUGCAGGACAGAAGCCUUUCUGUUGUGAAAUCUGUGGACGUAGGUUUACUGAAAAAUCAAAUUUAACUAAACAUAUGAGAAUUCAUAAUGGCCAGAAACCUUUCUGUUUUGAUCUUUGUGGAUAUAGAUUUCACCAAAAACAACAUUUUAACAAACACAGUUUAGUCCACACAUGACAGAAGCCUUUCUUUUGUGAAAUUUGUUUACACAGUAUUACUGAUAAGUCAGUUUUCAAAAAACACAGGAGAAUCAACACAGAACAGAAACCUUUCUAUUGUGACGUAUGUGGGCAUAAAUUUACUGAUAAAUCAAAUCUAAAUAGACACAUGAGAAUCCACACAAGACAGAAAACAUUAUGUUAUGGUCUUAAACAGGACAUAAGGCUUUCUCUUGCAAACUCUUUGGACACAAAUUUUCCAUUAAAUAAACUUUCAAAAACUACAUGAGAAUCCACACGUGACAGAUGACUUUCUGUUGUAAUGUCAUUGGAAAUAAAUUUAGUGGUGAAUCUAGUUUUAACACACAUGAGAAUCCACCUGUUACACAAUCUGUUUAGUUGUGUAACAGGUAGUUUAUUAGCCAUUUUUAGGUCAUCUUUUUUCACAUAGUUAAUCUACAGUGGCUUGCAAAAGUAUUCACACCCCUUAAACCUUUCCAUAUUUUGUCACAUCACAACUACAAACAGAUUUCUUUGGAAAUCUGUUUGUAGUGUAUACCAACACAGAGUAUACAUUUGUGAAGUAGAAAGAAAAUGAUACAAUUCAAAACAUGUUUCAUGUAUCAAAUACUCAAAAGUGCUAUAUGCGAGAGACCACUUUUCUCUGAGUGCAACUAAUUGCCAUCCUUCCAUCCAUCCAUCCAUCCAUCCAUUUUCUAGCACCCUUGUUUUUAGUGGGGUAGGGAGGUGUAGGCUGGUGCCUAUCUCCAGCUCAACUAAUUGCCACUUACUGUGAAAUUUAAUGUCAGUAAAAAUACAGAUACUCUGUGAUGCCUCAGAGUUUGAUUAAGAGAAUAUUGGGGAACAAUCAGCAUCAUUAACUCCAAGGUACACACCAGACACGUCAAGAAGAUAGUUGUGGAGAAGUUUAGACUUAGACUAUAAAAAGAUUUCCCAAGCAAUGAACAUGUCUUGGAGCACUGUAAAAUCCAUCAUCCGAGUAUGGCACAACUGCAAACCUCCCAAGACAAGGCCAUCCAUCGAAACUUUCAGGCUUAACAAGGAGAGCACUGAUCAGCGAUGCAGCCAAGAGGUGCAUGGAGACUCUGGACCAAAAUCAGAGAUCCACAGCUCAAGUGGUGGAAUCUGUUCACAGGAUAAUUAUUAGUCAUCACUGCCCAAAAGUGAUCUUUAUGGAAGAGUGGCAAGAAUAAAGCAUUGUUAAAAGAAAACCAUAAGAAGUCCCAUUUGCAGUUUGCCAGAACCCAUGUUGGACAACAAACAUGUGGAAGGAACUUUGGUCAGACCAGAACAAAACUGAACAAAAAUUGUAACAAAAGAUGAUUUCACAAAAUAUUGACACAUGAUGGCUGAAUAUUAUUGGACACUGCACUUUUCAGUUUUUGGAAUCAUAUAUAGUUUUCUUCCAGCUUCACAAUUGUAUACCAUUCUGUGUUGGACUUCACAUAAAAUUAAUUGUUUGUGGUUGUAAUGUGACAAAAUAUGGAAAAGUUCAAAGGGUAUGAAUACAUUUGUAAGAUACUCUAACUGACUGUGAAGUAUUUAUGCUAGCCUAUCUUAUUCUUUACUUUUUAGGGGGUUAUUGGGAGAGUUGGUGUCAUUGUCCAUUUAUCAUUUUCAGUAUAAUGAUUUUUGUUCUGUGUCCGUUCUGAUGAUUUUUAACUUGGUGUUUAGUGUUGAAGGAGUUUGAAAUGUUGACAGUAGCCUGCAGCCAAUUUUGGGGGGGAGAAUGUUUGUGGUUUGAAAAUAAUUCUUUAUGGUUUCACUUUGUUUUAAAAUGUCUGUCUUUUGUUUUUUCAAUACGUCUGUGAGAGAAUAGGAAAAGACCGUCUGUUCAGUAAGAAUGUAAAAACGAUGUCUCUUUAUUUGAUUAGAUUAAUUCUGGAAAGUGUUGGAAAUUUUAUUCUGUGUUUUUUAACAGGGAGCUGCUUUAAUGUUCUGUCAUGUUUAUAUGGUGAUUGGGUAAUGUUUGAAAACUAUAUUAGAGAAACAUGUAAUGUUAUACUGCCUCCUCCUUGCGAUGGUUAGAGUGCGUUGGCAUGUCAAAUUAUAAUACUUUAUGGGGAAACCCAGGAGAUGCCAUCAAAAGAUGCACAAUAUGGAAAUAAUACAUAAAACUGUCUGUAUCUUUCCUCUUGAAUAAUUAUAUUUUGUUUUGUUUAGCUUGUUACAAAUUUUUUGAUAUUAAAUUUUUUUUCUCAUAACUAAUAAUCUCCUUGUUUUGCCUAGAUCUAGUCUCACCUGAAAUAAGGAAUCUGUUAAGCCAGAGCAGAAAGGGCGCAAAAUAUGCAAAACAGGCUUGGGGUAAAGAAAAAAACUGUACAGACUAUGUUAUGGAAAUAAAUACUUUAAGGAAUAUAAACAUGGCCACAAAAGAUGGAAUGAAGAUAAAGAAAAUGUGCACAUAAUACAGCAAUCUGUAAAAACAGAGCUCUGUUGAGAACAAAGCAGAAGUGAAGAUGUAAUAAUGAAAAGAUUGCUUAAUUAAUAAAAUGUUUACUUUAAGGAAAAUUAAUAUAGCAAAUGUGAUGGUUGUGGAGAAAAAGAAAAUGUGUGUUGAACAUUUUAAACAUGCAAAGGAAAAAGUAAUGGAAAUAGGAAGAGCCUAGAGUCUAGAAGGAAUUUUGGGAACCAAAUGGCAGCAGGAAGAAAUCAGAAUUAUAAUAUAAAGUGUUGUUUUUAUCUAAUACAAAAUUAAAACAGAAUAUAGUGGGAGAAAGCUGAGAACCUGCAUAGUUUUGUACUGUAGGGGGCGGAAUGCACCUCUAAAGUUGUUUGUAAUCUGCCAAGAAGAAGGAGGAAAACAAGGAAAUUGUCCUGUAUGGCGAGGCAUUCAUACAUUUCUAUCUUGUCUUCGCACAUCCAUAAGACAAAGAAAAACACUGACGCUGGUUGUUGGGAGCCGGAUCGCAUCCAGCCGGGUUUAUUAAUGCCUACAGACAAGACCUCUGGAAGAGGAGAUUCCUCCAACACCUUCUUCAUCGAGACUGUUUUCGGAAAGCACGUCCCUUGGUCUGUCUGUGUGAACCCUGAGCCCACCGCCAUUGAUGACAAGGAGAUGCUGAUGGUUAAAGAAGAAACCACAGAAGACCAAAAACCUAAUGUGGACCUGCAUGACCCAAAGCCCCACCACAUAAAGGAGGAAGAGGAGAGAGUCUACAUCAGUCAGGGGGAAGAGCUGCAAAAUUUGAAGGAGGAGAUAGAAAGUGCCAUAAAGAGUGAGGAUGAUAAACAGUCCUGUCUGCUCUCACAACUUUGUCAAGACCAAAUUAAAGACAGAGAACUUCCAGGAGAAAACAAUGAAGGGCAGUCCAUCAAGACGGAAUAUCAUCAAAAUGGUUCCAGGUCCUUAGAGUGUGAAGACAUCAAGAAGGAUGAAGAGGAUGGUGAUGUAGAGCUGAAACACUUGUCAGACUCUGGACUGAAGACUGAAGGCAUGAACAGAGAUACUGAGUCAGAUGGAGACCUUGUUAACAACCCAAAUUCAGAAAUAGGGUCUCAAGGAUUGCUGGAUAUGAAGAAAUGUUUUACAGCGAACAAAAAUGGUAUCUCACGAAGGAAGGUCAAAACAGGAGAGAAGUUUAGUUGUAAAGACUGUGGCAAAACAUUUAUUAAAAAGCAGAAUUUAAAUAUACACAUGAAAAUCCACACAGGACAGAAACCUUUCUGUUGUGAUCUCUGUGGAUACAGAUUUGGCCGUAAAUCACAUUUAAACUCACACAAGAGAUUCCAUACGGGACAGAAACCAGUCUGCUGUGAUCUCUGUGGACGUAGAUUUAGCCGUAAAUCUAGCUUAAAUACACACAUGAAAAUCCACACAGGACAAAAACCUUUCUGUUGUAAUCUUUGUGGACAUAGAUGCAGCCAAAAAGCUAAUUUAAACUCGCACAUGAGAAUCCACGCAGAACUGAAACCUUUUGGUUGUGAUCUCUGUGGACAGAAAUUUAGGCGUAAAUCUAGUUUAAGCACACAUUUGAGAAUCCACAUAGGACUGAAACCUUUCUGUUGUGAUCUAUGUGGACAUAGAUUUAGCCGUAAAUCUAGCUUAAACACACACAUGAGAAUCCACACAGGGCAAAAACCUUUCUGUUGUGAUCUCUGUGGACAUAAAUUUAGCCGUAAAUCUAUCUUAAGCAGACACAUGAAAAUCCACACAGUACAAAAAUCUCUUUAUUUAUAGCUGGUAGUUUUUUUUUUUAGCCUUUUCUAAGUCAUCUCUUUUCACAUACCCAUUGAACUUUGCCACUGUAACUGGCUGUGAAUUAUUAAUGCUGGCCUACCUCAUUCUUUAUUUUAGCCAGGUUGAAUGGGAGUUGGUGUCAUUGUCCAUUUGUCGUUCUCAUAAUAUUAAUUUUUGUUCUUUGAUGGUUUUUAAAUGACUGUUUUCGUGUUGAAGAAGUUUGAAAUGUUGGCAGUACAGACAGUUUUGGGGGGAAUGUUGAUGGUUGAAUUUUCCAUUGAAUUGUGUUAUAAGAAACAAAUUUUGUCUGUUGUUUUUCUAAUACACAUCUAUGAAUAAAUAGAAAUGACCUUAAAUCUGUUGAGUAAGAAUGUCAUUUCUCUAUCUCUUUUAAUCUCAUUAGAUCAACUCUGGAAAUUGUUUGGAAAAGUUAUUCUGUGAUGUUAACAGGGAACUGCUUUAAUAUCUUGUCAUGUUUAUAUGGUGAUUGGGUAAUGGUUGAGUUAUUCCACUAAAUAAAAUCUAUUUUUGGGGCUAUUUAUUCUUUAUUACUUUCUAUUUUUAAUUUAGUUUAAACUUAUUUUUGGUUUAUAUUGUAUUUUGUGGGUUAUUUGCAUAGUAACUUUAUUUAAAAUGUUAGUUUCUUUGUUUUUGAUAUUUACAUUUCUAAGUUAGACAAGAACUGUGGGUCAAUUUUCUUGGUUUGACAAACAUUCUCCACUACAAUUAAUGAGUCCAAAGCUUUUUAUUACCAGAUAUCAAAAUGUUGCCAGGGAAAUUUGGAUCCAUUGCAAAACGCGGCACACAAAAGACCUACAAAUGCGUACCAAAUAAUAUCCUAAAACAAGAAAAUAUAACCGGGGGUACAAAUAACUUUUUCCUAUCCUUUAUUUUGAUUCUCAAACAUUGUGACGAGCCACUUCCUGGAUAGACACGUGGUUUGGCCCGUUUAGGUGGCUUCAAACGUCACCACGCGCUCCAAUCAGCCCGUCUCCAUGCGCUCUUCAUCAAAAUCUAACAAUCUGCCUGGAUUACCCGACACGCUUCAAAGCCUCCACACAGAAACACAUCAUUACUGCACGUCCACAGAGUGAAGAAAAUGGUGGCGCUAUGCACCUCUGAAGUGGUCUGCAAUCUUCCAACAAGGAGAAGAAGAAGGAAAAGGAAGAAGCAAAGAACUGUCCUAUAUAGCUACACAUUUAUAAAUAUUCGCCUCCUCUUCGUGCGUCCACAAAAUAAAGAAAAAUGACUGAUGCUGGCCAUUGGGAACCAGAUUGCCUGGUAGAUGGCAUCCAGUUGGACUUAAUGAUGCCAACAGACAAGAACUCUGGAAGAGAAGAUGAUUCCUCCAACACCUUCUUUAUCAAGACUGGUUCUGGAAAUCACGUCCCUCAGUCGGUCUGUGUGAACCUGGAGCCCACUGUCAUGGAUGUUAAGCAGAUGUUGAUGGUUAAAGAAGAAGACACAGAAGACCAAAAACCUAACGCAGAUCUGCAUGACCCAAAACCCCAACACAUAAAGGAGGAAGACGAGGAGGUCUGCAUCAGUCUGAGGGGAGAUCUGUUCAAAGUGAAGGAGGAGAUAGAAAGUGGCAUGAAGAGUGAAGAUGGUGAACAGUCCCCUCUGCUUUCACAGCUUUAUCAAGACCAAAUUAAAGACAGAGAACUUCCAGAAGUAAAGAAUGAAGGAGAAUCCAUCAAAAUAGAAGAUUUUGAAGGUGGUUCCAGGUCCUUCAAGCAUGAAGACACAGUGAAGAAUGAAGAGGACGACGAUGAUGUAAAGUAUCCCGUCCCUGAGAUGAAACACUUACCCCCCGCUACCUCCCCUCCAGUCAUAGUCCAUGUCCUUAGUUUUCAGUACAGAGCUCCUGAGUCAAAUGGAGACCUUGUUGGCAAACUAGAUGCAGAAGUAGGUUUUACAGAGAACAAAAAUGUUGGCUCACGAAAGAAGGCCCGGAAAGGAUGGAAGGCGAACUGUGAAGUCUGUGGCAAAACCUUUUGUGAAAAACGGAAUUUAAUCACUCACAUGAGAAUCCACACAGGAGAGAAACCUUUCUGUUGUAAAGUAUGUGGACAUAGAUCGUGUCAAAAAUCCAGUUUAAACAGACAUAUGAUAAUCCAUACGGGACAGAAGCCUUUCUGUUGUGACCUCUGUGGAAAUAGAUUUACCCUCAAGUCAAGCUUAGACAGACACAUGGGAAUCCACAUGGGAAAGAAACCUUUUUCUUGUCAUCUCUGUGGACAUAAAUGUAGCCAAAAAGUAAAUUUAAACUCACACAUGAGAAUCCACACAGGACAGAAACCUUUCUGCUGUGAUGUAUGUGGACAUACAUUUAGGCGCAAGUCACAUUUAAACACACACAUGAAAAUCCACAGUCAACAAAAAAUAAAUCCUUUAUGAUGACUCACACUGCAAAGCAUCAGUUCACUGUGAAAUAUUCAUGUUGUUGUUUAGGCAACAGUUUUCACUUUUAAUCUUAAUAUGUUUAAUAUCAUUUACAGAUUUGCUUAAUAACAUGACUGAUGGUUUCUUAGAAAGGCACGUUUUUGUUUUGUUUUUUUGUCAUAUUUUAUGCAAUGUCCAGAGUGAUCUGUAGCAGAGGUGUGUUCUUAGCUCAUGUGUUUCUCUACGGUACAAAAGGCAAAAUGUUUGUGUGAUGCACAAGAUGACAUUGAGUUAAAGGGGACCUAUCUUCAGAAUCCACUUUUUUGUGUGUGUUGAGUGUCUAGGACUGCAAAAAUUUUUAAUUUAUUCUUUUCCUGUGCUGCAUAGAUAUGUUUACAUUAUUUUUGGAUCAUAUUUUUCAGUCCAUUUUUUUAAAUAUUCCCUAUCAUGUUUUCUUGUUUAUUGCAUCACAGUAUUUGCUGUGGAACUGCUAAACAUCCAACUAACCAUUUUUGUUAAUCCGCCAUAUUUUUUUUUUGUAGUGCAAGUUCAGCUAUGCUGAAUCUGCAAGUAGAGAAGUCAAAAUGUUUGGUUCUAGCUUGUAUGAAUUUAGAUAAUUCCUUGUGGGUUAAUACACGCUCCUCAGCAUCAGAUGUAAAAUGUUUCUUUCACAUUUAAAAAGACAGCAGACCAAUGAGUUGCUCUAAAACGAGCCUCAGAAUGAGGAGCCUGUGGGGGAAGAAUGAUGAGGAAUUCAGAUAUAACUGGCUGUGAAGUAUUAAUGCUGUCACAUUCUUUAUUUUUGAGGGGGGGAUGUUGGUAUUAUCAUCCAUUUAUUGUUAUUGAAGUGAACUGCUCAAUAUACCAUGAUAUAAAUUUUUGUUCUGUGUCCAUUCUGAUGAUUUUAACCAAAUGUUUUAGCCUUGAAGGAGUUUCAAAUCUUGGCAGCUAAAUUUUGAUUGAAUGUUUAUGGUUUGGAAAUGAUUCCUUGUGUUUGAACUUUGCUUUUCCAUGUGUGUUAAGAAACCUAGUUUGUCUUUAUUUUUAUCCAAUCCAUGUAUAUGAAUGAAUAGGAAAACAUCUUAAAUCUGUUAAAGAAUGUAAAUUCUCUGUCUCUUUAUUUGAUUAGAUUAACUGGAAAAUGUUGGAAACCUUAUCCUGUGCCUUUUAACAGGGAGCUGCUUUAAUCCUCUGUCAUGUUUGUAUGGUGAUUGGGGCAGGUUGGUAUUAUUCCACAAUAAAAACUAAAAAGCA